GUCUACGGCCAUACCACCCUGAAUGCGCCCGAUCUCAUCUGAUCUCGGAAGCUAAGCAGGGUCGGGCCUGGUUAGUACUUGGAAGGGAGACAUGCAUAGAUUAUAAUUUGUCCCAGUUA
ensembl:rRNA 5S_rRNA 5S ribosomal RNA